CCAGAGAACUUAGCAGAGAUGCUUUGGUGCCUUCGGGAACUCUGAGACAGGUGCUGCAUGGCUGUCGUCAGCUCGUGUUGUGAAAUGUUGGGUUAAGUCCCGCAACGAGCCGCAACCCCUAUCCUUUGUUGCCAGCGAUUCGGUCGGGAACUCAAAGGAGACUGCCGGUGAUAAACCGGAGGAAGGUGGGGAUGACGUCAAGUCAUCAUGGCCCUUACGAGUAGGGCUACACACGUGCUACAAUGGCGCAUACAAAGAGAAGCGACCUCGCGAGAGCAAGCGGACCUCAUAAAGUGCGUCGUAGUCCGGAUUGGAGUCUGCAACUCGACUCCAUGAAGUCGGAAUCGCUAGUAAUCGUAGAUCAGAAUGCUACGGUGAAUACGUUCCCGGGCCUUGUACACACCGCCCGUCACACCAUGGGAGUGGGUUGCAAAAGAAGUAGAUAGCUUAACCUUCGGGAGGGCGUUUACCACUUUGUGAUUCAUGACUGGGGUGAAGUCGUAACAAGGUAAGCGUAGCGAG
rnacentral:rRNA from 1 species